rnacentral:rRNA from 1 species
CCUACGGGAGGCAGCAGUGGGGAAUAUUGCACAAUGGAGGGAACUCUGAUGCAGCGACGCCGCGUGAGUGAAGUAGUAAUUCGUUAUGUAAAGCUCUAUCAGCAGGGAAGAAAGUGACGGUACCUGAAUAAGAAGCACCGGCUAAAUACGUGCCCGCAGCCGCGGUAAUACGUAAGGAGCAAGCGUUAUCCGGAUUUACUGGGUGUAAAGGGAGAGUAGGUGGCAGGACAAGUCCGAAGUGAAAACCCGAAGCAUAACUAUGGGAAUGCUUUAGAAACUGCGCAGCUAGAGUGCAGGAGAGGACAGGGGAAUACUUAGUGUAGCGGUGAAAUGCGUAGAUAUUAGGAGGAACACCAGUGGCGAAGGCGGCUUGCUGGACUGUAAAUGACACUGAGGCUCGAAAGCGUGGGGAGCAAACAGGAUUAGAUACCCGUGUAGUC